CGAGAUGUAGCGCAGCUGGUAGCGCGCAACGUUCGGGACGUUGAGGCCGCUGGUUCGAAUCCAGUCAUCUCGA
rnacentral:tRNA from 1 species